UUGAGCUGCCCAUAGGUCAGAAGUGCAAGGUUGGACUCUUUUGCUCUAAGGACUGCAGAGGGAUUCUUUAAAACCCCUCUUACCUCUGAUACAAGUCCAUGCAACUCGUACUCUAGGCAGACCCGGAUAGCUUCAUCAAGUCAAUGAAAAUUCGUAAUCGGCUACUUCUCAUCAUAAGAAGAUAAUGGAUUAAAUAAAACUCGGUCUCUACAUCCCGAAAGAUAUAUGGUGUAAUAAGAAGGCUGAAAUACAAGUGCAUCACGAGUUUGCAACCUGAUUGUUCUGCACAAGGUUUAUAGGUUUUGAUAUUCAGUUUGGAAGUUACAGACCUGCUAAUGUAAGAUUUUUUUUCUUUUCUUCACUUGUGUCAAAGAAACUACCGAAAUUACAGCUAGUUAAAAUGCUGAGGAAACAUUUGACAUUUUGACCUUACAAUUCAUAUAUGUAAUAUGAGAGGUUUCUAAUAAUACUUACAGGAUAUAAGCUC